rnacentral:rRNA from 1 species
UACGGAGGGUGCAAGCGUUGUUCGGAAUUACUGGGCGUAAAGAGCACGUAGGCGGGUCCGUCAGCCAUCUGUGAAAGCCCAAGGCUCAACCUUGGAAUUGCAGUUGGAACUGCGGAUCUUGAAUACCUGAGAGGAUGAGGGAAUUCCUGGUGUAGAAGUGAAAUUCGUAGAUAUCAGGAGGAACACCUGAGGCGAAGGCGCUCGUCUGGCAGUGUAUUGACGCUGAGGUGCGAAAGCGUGGGGAGCAAAC